rnacentral:rRNA from 1 species
GACGAACGCUGGCGGCGUGCCUAAUACAUGCAAGUAGAACGCUGAAGCGAGGAGCUUACUCUUCUUGGAUGAGUUGCGAACGGGUGAGUAACGCGUAGGUAACCUGCCUUGUAGCGGGGGAUAACUAUUGGAAACGAUAGCUAAUACCGCAUAACAAUGGAUGACACAUGUCAUUUAUUUGAAAGGGGCAAUUGCUCCACUACAAGAUGGACCUGCGUUGUAUUAGCUAGUAGGUGAGGUAAUGGCUCACCUAGGCGACGAUACAUAGCCGACCUGAGAGGGUGAUCGGCCACACUGGGACUGAGACACGGCCCAGACUCCUACGGGAGGCAGCAGUAGGGAAUCUUCGGCAAUGGGGGCAACCCUGACCGAGCAACGCCGCGUGAGUGAAGAAGGGUUUCGGAUCGUAAAGCUCGGUUGUAAGUCAAGAACGGGUGUGAGAGUGGAAAGUUCACACUGUGACGGUAGCUUACCAGAAAGGGACGGCUAACUACGUG